GGUGUAGGGGUUAACAUGCCUGCCUGUCACGCAGGAGAUCUCGGGUUCAAAUCCCGUCGGGA
rnacentral:tRNA from 1 species